UACGGGGGGGGUAAGCGUUGUCCGGAAUUACUGGGCGUAAAGAGCUCGUAGGUGGUUUGUCGCGUUGUCCGUGAAAACUCACAGCUUAACUGUGGGCGUGCGGGCGAUACGGGCAGACUGGAGUACUGCAGGGGAGACUGGAAUUCCUGGUGUAGCGGUGGAAUGCGCAGAUAUCAGGAGGAACACCGGUGGCGAAGGCGGGUCUCUGGGCAGUAACUGACGCUGAGGAGCGAAAGCGUGGGGAGCGAACAGG
rnacentral:rRNA from 1 species